GGGUCCGACCAUACAUGUGCUAAGCACCGGAUCCCAUCAAAAUUCCGUAGUUACGCGUGCUUGGGCGAGAGUAGUACUAGGAUGGGUGACCUCCUAGGAAGUCCUUGUAUUGCAUCCC
rnacentral:rRNA from 1 species